rnacentral:rRNA from 1 species
UACGUAGGUGGCAAGCGUUGUCCGGAAUUAUUGGGCGUAAAGCGCGCGCAGGUGGUUUCUUAAGUCUGAUGUGAAAGCCCACGGCUCAACCGUGGAGGGUCAUUGGAAACUGGGGAACUUGAGUGCAGAAGAGGAAAGUGGAAUUCCAAGUGUAGCGGUGAAAUGCGUAGAGAUUUGGAGGAACACCGGUGGCGAAGGCGGCAUCCUGGACCAACACUGACACUGAGGAGCGAAAGCCAGGGGAGCAAACGGG